CAGAGAACUUCUUCCCCAUCCUCUGCAAACUGCUUCCCCCCCCCCUUGAGCCGCCGCCGGCGCCCAGCAUCCCGCUCCCGGUGCCUCCGGCUAGCGCUAGGCCAUCCGGUCUGUAGCUUCGCCACUGAGAUCGGAUGGCGAGGAGGUCGAGGAAGAAGCAGCGCGUGCCCAGCCUCUCCGAGGACCUCGUCCUCGAGAUCCUCUCGCGGGUGCCCUACAGGUCGCUGUGCCGCUUCAAGUGCGUGUCCAGAUCCUGGCUCGCCCUCUGCUCCGACCCGGACCUCCGCAAGAAAUCGCCCCAGACCCUGUCCGGCUUCUUCUGCUUCCCCCGUCAGGAAGACGACCACAACAGCCCCCGGUUCCUCAACUUGUCCGGGAGAGGACGACGCUGGCCGACCCCUCUCCCCCUCUCUUGGAGGGCUAUACAGGUCCCAUGUUCGUGGAGUGCUGCAGCAGCCUUCUCCUCUGGAAAGUCUGGAGAUCGUCUCCGUUUGAGCCAGAGUACGUCGUGUCGAAUCCCGCGACUCAGGAAUGGAUCCUGUUGCCGCCUACAGAGGCUAGGCAUCUUCUGCACUUUGUCCGUUUGGGGUUCGACCCGGCCGUGCCCUCCUGCUUCUAUGUUUUCAUGUUCGUGACGAGUGAAUCCUUCAGAGUAACUGGAAUGGAGAUCUACUCGUCGGAAACUGGAGGUUGGGUUUUCAGGCAGAGUGAGUGGGGCGACUACACUAGAGUGGACCAUGAUACAGACACCAUAUUAUUUAAUGACACCCUCUAUUCAGUUACCACUGAUUUAUCACUAGCGUCGGUAGACACAGAAGGCAAGACUUGGCGGAAAAUCCGCAUGCCGCACAGCUACAUACGGCCCAAGAUCAGAAAGGAUGACUGUUUGAUCGCGCAUUCUCGGGGCUGACUGUAUGCUAUGCACAUGGAUUUUCGUAAUGACAACCAGCUAUCAGUUUGGGCACUGGGGGCUAAUGGCAAUGAGCAGUGGACCCUGGAACAUUCUGUGAGCAUCACGCACCUCCUUGGAAGGCAUCAUCGCAGCAGAUAUGAGUUCUACGUGUUGGUUGCAGCACAUCCGGAGCGUAAUUUGAUUUACCUUACUGGUGGGUUGCGUGAUGAACUCAUGUCGUAUGAUAUGGACAAGAAGGAAGUUCAUGUUAUCUGCACUCUUGAAGAAUACUUUCUGGCCCCAUGUUUGCUCUAUAUUCCCUGCUUUGUGGAAUGGUCUUUGCCUCUUUCCGAUGGUCACUGAAAGCUAGAGAAGCUUCCCUUAUGCUAAGUUGGCAAGGCAUCAGUGCCUUCAUAGUAAUGGUGUUGAAUAGGGCCUGAACUCCAGUUUUGGGCAGUGGUGACUUGGACAGUUCGACCUCCAAAGUCUACAUCAAUUUGGUACUCUCACUGCUGGUGUUCCUUUGUGGCUUCCAGCGACAUUGGUUAGUCAUGUAUCUUGUAUGUAACCAAGCUCUUCAUUAGGUGCUAAUAGCCUAAUACUAGGAGAGUUAUUCGAGUGGAUGCAGUUGUUCUGUUUGCUUUGAUAUUCUAACAGCUGUUGUCACGUUUUAAGCUGUCAGGUCCUCGUUUUUAGUAUAUGUGACUAAACACAUUAUGUAUGGUGGGGUUUUCUGCAUUCACAUCUGUUCUUUAUUUCCUGCAUAUGCAACUUAUUAUCUGUCAUCUGUCAACACUGAACAACUUAUUAUUCGAGUGUCAUGUUUGUUUACCUGAUGCUCACUUCUUGUUUGACGUGGCAAUACUUCUGGUAAUAUAA